AUGUUCCAGCAUCUUCACUUCCUUUUUGUGCCCAAGCUGGAGCAAAAGCCACUGUUUUGUUGCCAUUGUUCCUGUUCUUGUCAUAAAAACCAUCUUCAAAGGAACCAUAGUCUAUAUUCUGCAAUACUGUUGGAAUCUGUAUCCCCCCUACGAGUACUUCUUUCUCUCUCAUAUCUGUAUCAAUCUUUUCCCUUGUAUUGGUCACAUCCAACCCAAUAUAUGGAGUGUAGAACCCAGCUUCCAGUGCACCCUCACCUACAUGUGAUCGAAAGUCGUUCAGUGGAGGAGGGAUCUUGGUGA
rnacentral:rRNA from 1 species